UGUAUACACAGAACUAAGGGAGAGGAUAAGUAAAUAAUUGUCACAUUGUCACAUGAUUUGUGAGAAGCACUGUUAUCUUAAUAUUAUUGUUCAAAUAUUGAUGUGAAUGUAACAGAUAAAAGUCAGGACUCAAUGCAGACUACAGUAGUGUAGACCUGUGGAGAUACAAGUAUGUAGGUAUUUUUGAUGUAGGAAAUUAAAUUUCUUAAAGGCAGUGAAUCAGUGAACAACUCUGUAGCUAAUGAAAAUAUUUAGCUGUUUUUCUUCCAUACAGUGUUCUGUGUAUACACACAGGUGAAUACAUCUAUCCUGAAUCAAACAGAAGACCUGUCUGAUCUACUAAGGAUUGAAAUAAGGUCAGUUUAACUUCUAUGACUUGACCUAAGCCAACAAUGCAACAAUAUUGGUAUGCAGUUUUGUUUUUUAUCAGCUAUGUUUUUGAUAUCUGUUUAAUAUGCAACUGUAUUCUUGUAUUGUAUAGCUUGUAUAGCUUCAAAUUACACAAAUGUCACUACCAUGGAAUAUCAAAUGUGUUAUUAAGAUCAAAUAAAUCUCAAAUUCUCACAAUCUAAAUGUUUAGAUUGUUAACCAUGGUGACUUCAGGAGAGUCUGGCAAGGAUUUAAAAACAACAUGGCUGCAGAGAUCAUGCAGACUGAGAGUAGAGCAGAUCAGUGGUUCCUCUCAGCAGAAUGGAACUAACUCAUUCUACUGUGUUCUGGAAGGCCUGACAGCCUCUGACAGUGGACCUCCUACAAAACAGCUGUCAUACUCAUACUGCACCACUAGGGGGUGCUAAGGCAGCUGAAGUUAAUUCUUGAACUUUAACUUUUACCAUGGGUAUUGUUGGUUUGUUUUCAAAUGUACAUUAAAUACAAAUUUCCUUAUACAAAUUUGUGGGACAGAUUUGCAGUUUUCAUGUAUACUAUGUCACGUGAAUGACAUCUGUAAUGGUGCUGGAACACCUAUAGGCAACAAUCGAUACCGUAGCAAUCAACCAUUCCCUGUUGUUACUUGUAAGCAUACUGGUGGCAUUCAACACCCUAAAUGUGAGUAUAGAGGUAAUAGGGACACCAGGAGAAUUGAAAUCUCUUGUGACCUUGAUCAGAGUCAGCCUGGUAAACGCUGGCCAACCCACUAUGGAGGGGAUGUUGUUGUUGUUUAGCCAUUUGGGGCCAUGAAACAUUUGCUUACACUAUUCAUAAUACAAAAAUAAAUACAUCUAAAAUUCCAAUUCAUAACAAUUCUGUUCAGCAAAGCAAUAUAUCUCAAACAAUCUUAAAACAUCCAGUGUAACAGUGUUGAAUGCAAUUUACAGGAAUAUAACAAAGCAAAACAAAAGGUUUUGAGAAUUAAUUGUGAAAUGAUUCAUGUACCAAAGUGACUGAAAAAGAGGUAUUACUGAGUCAAAUUCCGUAUUUGUCCUAUUGUACCACUCAAUUUUGUGUAUUAAUGAAUUACAGGUAUUUGUAUCACAGAGCCAAAGGACAGUAAAAGUCAAUAACCAUCACAUGGUUUGCGAGAAGCACUAUUGGCUUAGUUUAAAUAUUAAUGUGAAUGUAACAGAUAAAAGUCAGGACUCUUUGCAGACUACAGUAGUGUAGACUUGUGGAGAUACAGGUCAUCAUGAAGCUCCAGUGGACACUCCUGCUGCUGGCCUGUGUGGUGGUGAGGACACAGGGUCAAGCACCUGAGGCUUAUCGCACAUUUCUCAGCAAUCACGUGAAUCCAACUAUGACAAAAGUACAGUGUAGCAACUACAUGCGCACCCUUAGACUGACGGAGCCUUCGUCUCCCGACUGCAAAAGUAAAAAUACUUUCAUAUUAGUUAACUCGGGAGAAGUAAAUAAAAUAUGUAACCAAGCUGGAACUCGUGUGUCUGCUAACCGUGAUCACUUUGUCAGCAAUCAACCAUUCCCUGUUCUUAAUUGUAUCAGCCAUAGUGGCAUUGGCGUUCGUCCCCCACGUUGUGAGUACAGAGGUACUGAUCCCUCAACCAGGAAACUAACCCUUGGUUGUGUCCCUGAUCAAACCGAUAGGAACAGACGCUGGCCAACUCACUAUGUCGGUGAUACUGUCAUUGUUGGUUAGCCAGACAAGGGGCCAUGAAACAUUUGCCUAAACCAAAUCAUAACAACAUAUCUCAAAUAAUCGUACACUAUCCAAUAUAAUAAUUGUAUGUUAUUUACAGUAAUACAAUGCUUGAGUUCUUGAUUUCCAUUCCAUCUGACAAUCAGCAUGAUUUUAACUGUAACUAAAUUGUGAAAAUGUAUUAAAUAAAUCAUUAUAUAGGCAGACUGUCAAGUAGUUUUUGUUUAUUGUUUGUUUGAUUGAUGCAACUCUUUGUUUUCCACUAAUAAUUGGGAACCAGACAGUUUGACUAUGGUAACUUCAGGGGAGUCUGGCAAGGAUUUAAAAACAUGGCUGAAGAGAACAUGCAGACUGAGAGUAGAGCAGAUCAGCGGUUCCUCUCCGCAGGUGUACAUUGAAACCUAGGCCCCUGAUUUUGACCUUCCUGUGACAUGUUUGUGAGCGGACAUUUGACCAAGGUAACUUUAGGGCAGUCGGAAGUGUGCUGAAAGUGUGCUGCCUUGAAGUGUCAAGAAAAACUUCAAUACUGGAUGGAAUCUGAAACAAAAUCUUGAACUACUGUGUACACUCAGUAAAAUCCUCCAUCUACAGCUGUUGCUAUCAGUGUCAAUUAAUCACUUUGUAGCAAGGCCUAGCCAUGGAGUCAUCAUUGGGGGGAACGAAAUCUGCUGGGGAGUCUGAGGGUCCCCCCCUGAAAACAAAACAAAACAAAAACAUUUCCAUACAGAACACCAGUAUCAGUAAAGUUUAGUUAUGAAUAUGAUAAGAUUUUGUAUGAUAAUUUCGGACAGCAUGGUUGCCUGUUGUUGCAUAGAACAUUUAUAUUGUAUUUAUAUUUUUAUAUCAAUAUAUUGGGGGGGGGGAUUUUGACUACAUUUGAAUAUUGGGGGGGACUGUCCCCCUCAAUAUAUAUUAUGAUUUGUAGCCAUGCUACAUAUGCUCCUAGGUUAUAAAUAAUUGUAUAAUUCAAUUAGGCCUAAUGGACAGACGAACAGACAGACACAGACAGGCAGAUAGAUUAAAUCAAAUUAAAUUGUAUGUCAGAGCACAAAUAUGCAGGCACAUAUGUAAGUAGAUAUGGAUUGGGUUUUGUUUUUAUGCCAUAGGUCAAUAAACAUACAAAUGUACACAGAUACUUGCCCGUGGUAAGAAAUGUCUGUUCUUGACGAAAAGUCGUUGGGUCCUUUUAGUUUUGCUGUCAUGAAGGAACCUGCAGUUUCUUCCUCAUACCAGAAAGUGGCAGUAAAGCUCUAUCCAUUAAGGGAGAAACAGACUGUCAGUGCCAACUUAAAACAUACAAACAUACUUAUUUUGAAGCUGUCCCAAUGUCAUUGAGUUUGAUUUCAUAUAGGAAUUUUUAUAUAUAACAUCUCUCAACAACAAUUAUAUUUGAGCUCUGCCAUGUAUAUUUGUGCAUAGGGAUACAUAGGAAUAUUAAUAGUGAAGACAUAAUAGUACCCAAUUGCUGUUAAAGUACCAAGCCAAUGAAGUGAAUCGGAAAGUACAAGUGCAAGACAAAAUCAUCAUAGUUAUCAUAGAUCUAUAAGGUGCAGGUGUCUGAUACAUACAUAUGUGAUGAUUAGCAUAGCCUUCUCAAGCACAGAAAAAGGACACUGCUGCAUGCUGGAUAGCUUUUGUUUCGGUCUUUAGAUAUAGGCCUCCUAGAAAUGGCCUUGACCCACCUCCUAUGUUCCUUGUUCAAAGUUGCAUGGCAUUAUACACUUUGGUAAUAUUGUGACCUCUGACCUACACUAGUGUCACAGACAUUUCCUAGUCGCACCUUACAAAGAACCAACUUCUAAAAGUUAAAAAGCCAAUCAGAAACAGUCACAUUUUCCCACCCCUUUUGAUAGCUGUAUAAAUAGCUAACUAUAUUUGGAUGAAUCACCAUCAGUUUCCUCAUAGAUACCACAGCAGUCUCUGGUGGAGUAUAAUGGUGUCUAUCAUAUUUCAGGCUUUAUUUGUGGCCAGUUGUGUAUGUCUCGCAUGUGAUCAGCACUACAAGUUGAUGACAGCUCAGCCAGGAGAGAAUGUGACUCUAAAAUGUCUCUGUCCAAGGGGAUUUAUUGACAAGAAUUCAUUCAUCUUCUGGUUCAGACAAGGUGCAGGACACAGUCCUGAAUUUAUAGCGGCGUUAAACCACAUGAGAUCAAAAAAAAUAUCACAGGAGGGCUUUAAUGACACCCCACGCAUCACAGCAAAAGUAGAAGGACAGAGUUUUAACCUGCAUAUUAAUCAAACUAAACUGACUGAUACUGCCAUGUAUGAUUGUGUGAAAGUUUAUCAGCAGAAAAUUGUUAAAUUUAACACAGGGAUUUUGUUGAGGAUUGGAGAUAAAUAUAGCAUUAAUAAAGAUCUGAUUCAAUGUGAGGAUGUUCACCAACAUAUUCCUUUGAUCAAAGCUGAAUAUGGUGGAACUGUAACACUGCAGUGUCUGAUAUCAGAAGAAGAUCAAAUGCUAAACUGGUACAAGCAAAGUAUUGGACAUGUUCCCCAAUGUUUAAUGGCUGAAUCUUCAAUUAAACAACAUUCAAAUGUUUUGGGAGAUCAUCUGCGUUUCUCUGCAAAAAUCGUUCUGAAAAUCAAAAAUAUAACCAGUUCAGACGGGAGAAUGUACUUCUGUGGAAUGGGAACGGCAUAUGAGAUGAAUUUUAGAAACUGCACCUUUGUGACUGAAAGGGACAAAGCAUGUGCUGUGGUGACACAAGAUUUUGGAGAGACCUGGAUUGUCAUAUCCCUCUGUUCUGUGUUGGUCAUAUGUGUCAUCAUAAUCGCCUUUUUAAUCUACACAAUUAAAAGGAUGAAAUGUGAUCGCCGCAACACUAGAGUCAUUCAACUUCAAGCAUCUGUUGGUGAGACCAGUGACACUCAGAAUGAGCAGAGACAGGAUGGUGACGAGAUGCUUUACUCACAAGUAGAGUUUACAAAAAGGAAAGCCCUCAACAGGAACAGAAGACAUUAAUACACCAACAAGGAAGACACCAUUUACUCUGAUGUCAAAGGUCUUGAUGUAAUUGACAGCCUGACUGAUGAUAUCUAAGGGAGUCAGAUGGCUGAGCGGUAAGGGAGUCGGGCUAGUAAUCAGAGGGUUGCUGGAUCAAUUUCCCGCCAUGCCAAAUGACGUUGUGUCCUUGGGCAAGGCCUUACUUGCCUCGGGGGGAAUGUCCCUGUACUUACUGUAAGUCGCUCUGGAUAAGAGCGUCUGCUAAAUGACUAAAUGUAAAUCUAAGUAAUUACAUUGUAUCAAUAUUAAAAACCUUUUUUUUUUACCUUUUUCAGUUUUACUUAUAUUUGAAUAGCUUGGAUAUAUUUGGCUUGUAAUGAUAAAUAAAAGUGUUGCAUUCUGCAUUAAUGUGCUCAUACGAUGAGCAGUAUAUCUACUGUUGGAAUGUGUGAUAUCUGGAAGAAUGUUUUUUUUAAUAAAUGUUUAGUGGAUCAAUUAUCUCCA